rnacentral:rRNA from 1 species
ACGAACGCUGGCGGCGUGCCUAAAACAUGCAAGUCGAACGGGGGUAGCAAUACCUAGUGGCGAACGGCGGAGUAAUACGUGAACAACGUGCCUUGAAGACUGGGAUAGCCAGGGGAAACCCUGAGUAAUACCGGAUGUGGCAACGAGGAGCAUCUCCUUGUUACUAAAUGGUUUUUCGCUUUAAGAGCGGUUCACGACCUAUCAGCUAGUUGGUGAGGUAACGGCCCACCAAGGCGACGACGGGUAGGGGGUCUGAGAGGAUGAUCCCCCCGAGUGGGACUGAGACACGGCCCACACACCUACGGGUGGCCAGCAGUUGGGAAUCUUGCACAAUGGGGGAAACCCUGAUGCAGCGACGCCGCGUGGAGGACGAAGGGUCUAGGCUCGUAAACUCCUUUUUUCGGGAAAGACUUAGGACGGUACCCGAAGAAUAAGCACCGGCUAACUACGUGCCAGCAGCCGCGGUAAGACGUAGGGUGCAAGCGUUGUCCGGAUUUACUGGGCGUAAAGAGCGCGUAGGCGGUCCAUUAAGUGUGAAGCUAAAUCUCCCGGCUCAACCGGGAAACUAUUUCGCGUACUGAUGGGCUGGAGUGAUGCAGAGGUGGAUAGAAUUCCCGGUGUAACGGUGAAAUGUGUUGAUAUCGGGAGGAAUACCCGUGGCGAAGGCGGUCCACUGGGCAUCAACUGACGCUGAGGCGCGAAAGCGUGGGUAGCAAACAGGAUUAGAUACCCUGGUAGUCCACGCCCUAAACGAUGGAUGCUAGGCGUAGGAGGUAUCGACCCCUCCUGUGCCGCAGCUAACGCACUAAGCAUCCCGCCUGGGGACUACGGCCGCAAGGUUGAAACUCAAAUGAAUUGACGGGGACCCGCACAAGCGGUGGAGCAUGUGGAUUAAUUCGAUACUAACCGAAGAACCUUACCCAGGUUUUGACAUCGAGGGAAAGACUGUGAAAGCAGUCCCCCACCCACAAGGUGGCCCGAAGACAGAUGUUGCAUGGCUGUCGUCAGCUCGUGCCGUGAGGUGUACGGUUUAAGUCCGCUAACGAGCGCAACCCCCGUCCUGUGUUACCAGCGAGUAAAGUCGGGCACUCACAGGAGACCGCCGGUGUAAGCCGGAGGAAGGUGGGGAUGACGUCAAGUCAGCAUGGCUCUUACGCCUGGGGCUUCACACAUGCUACAAUGGGCGCAACAAGGGCAGCAAUACCGCGAGGUGGAGCUAAUCCCAAAAAUACGCCCCCAGUUUCAGAUUGCAGUCUGCAACUCGACUGCAUGAAGUCGGAAUCGCUAGUAAACGCAGGUCAGCUAUACUGCGUUGAAUACGUUCCCGGGUCUUGUACACACCGCCCGUCAAGUCACCUGAAUCGUCUUCACCCGAAGUCCGUGGCCUAACCGCAAGGAAGGAGCGGCCGAAGGUGAGGGGGGUAAGGGGGACU